rnacentral:rRNA from 1 species
GACGAACGCUGGCGGCGUGCUUAACACAUGCAAGUCGAACGGAAAGGCCCCUUUGGGGGUACUCGAGUGGCGAACGGGUGAGUAACACGUGAGUAACCUGCCCUUGACUUCGGGAUAACUUCAGGAAACUGGGGCUAAUACCGGAUAGGAAUCCUUGCUGCAUGGUGGGGGUUGGAAAGCUUCGGCGGUUUUGGAUGGACUCGCGGCUUAUCAGCUUGUUGGUGGGGUAGUGGCUUACCAAGGCUUUGACGGGUAGCCGGCCUGAGAGGGCGACCGGCCAACAGGGGGAGGGGGAGCCGGCCAGGACCCCACGGGGGGGAGGCGGGGGGGAAUGUGGAAAAAGGGGGGGAGGCCGGAUGCAGAACGCCGGGGGGGGGGGGGAGGCCCUGGGGGUUGAAACCCGUUUCCGGCGGGGGGGAAGUUUGGGGGGACGGUCCCGGAAAAAGAAGCACCGGCAAACUACGUG